UGUGAUUAUGAUUCACACGGUUUAGAUAUUUCAGAUUAGUAUAAAGUGAUAAGGUCUCAGUUUGUUUAUAAGAGUAAUCCAGUUUUGGUUUGGAUUAGAACUCUAUUUGGGAUUUGAGUUUAGUACUCCUGAUUGUACAAGGAUUUAGUUUCAUAUUCCUUGUAGGAUUGUUAUAGGUGAUCCGGAACUUGUAGUAUAAAACCACAAUCCCCUGCUCUCGCAAAGAUACACUCUGAAUUUCGUUCCAGUUGCCUAUAAUCUGGAGAGUAUCGAGCUUUGCAGAGAGGAGAAGGUUUUGUGCAGAUUUCCAUAUCUUCUUCGUCUGUGAACAUGUCUGCAGGUAUGCACUGAUGCAAUUAUUUUUGUUCUUACAUUCAUAUUGCGUACAUGAUCAAAGGGUUGUGAUUUAAUUGUUUAAUCCUUGUGUUCUUGGCUGUUGAGUUGAUCGAUAAGUUUCUAUCUCUUCUCACAUGAGGUAUCAGAGCCAAUGGAUUCUUCAUUUAAAUUCAAUCUUGAAAUCGUUUUAAUCUGCAAAACAAAACUGACCUAUGGCAACCAGUCUGUUUAAAUUCGAAAUUGCAAGAAACGACGUCGUUUAAUUUAUUAAUCUUCUUUAAUAUUAUGACUGUUGGACUGGGUUUUUGACUGCAAUCGAAGAAAAAAAAAAAACCUCGAUUUUCAUUCUGUGUGAGAAAGAUCCGUAAUCUGAUAUGGCAAUAUCGUUUUUCUCAAACAUCAUAAAACAAAUUUCUUGUAUAACUAUUGCUUCCGCUGCGUAGAUUAUGAUAUCUGCAAAUUGAGGUAAUUUUCUGUUUCUUCUCCAUCCAUAUUGCGUUAAAAUAUAAAGAAGUAUUAUGGAAUUUUUGCUAUGUUUGCUUAAGAUUGGUGUACAAAGAUUAUGCAAUGCAUUCAAUUCCAUGUCUAUAGAUUAUUGACAUACUGCUCUUUUGUUUUCUUGUCACAAAUGAAAUUCUGAUCUGCGUGAUGAGUGAGUUUAUGCAUACACAAAUGGGUUGUUUCAUCUAUAUAUGUUUUUCAUGCUCAUGAGAAAUCUAUAUAUAUGACUAAAUUGAUUCAUUAACAUUGUGUAUUAAGUGAAAGUGGAUUGAAAUCAAGAACUUUUGGUUCUUUUAUUGAGAUUUCAUUUUGUCCAUGUCUGCAGUUUCGCUUAAAACACUCAACCUUGCAAGUGUUCCGAUUCUCACGGGGGGAAGUAACUACAAGAAGUGGAGGCGAGAAAUCGGUCUGCUACUGACUCUUAAUGAAUUUGAUAUUGCAUUAGACACUCCUAAGCCGCCAUUAUUGUCAGAUAAAAGCUCUGCCAAAUGGGAUUUUUAAAGCACAUGUUACUCAUAUGGGAGUUAUAGAUGCUUUAGAUAAGUGAGAGUGAUUGAAGUUAUUUUAUGUAGCUUUUGGAAGACAGUUAUAGGAUGCUUUUCCAAAGGAUGAGUGUCGUAGCAAAGUUUUCUGGAGCUAGGUAUUGUAAUUUAUUUAGUUACAACUUUCUUUGUGAUUUAGCAGUUAGUUGAGGUUUCUUUUAGUUCAACCUUUUCAGACAAAUCUGUGAUUGGUUGUUCACAGGAAACAUUUUUGAUAGUUCAAUAAAAUCUUUGAGUCAAAAUUUCGUUUUGAUAAAGAUAGUUUGAGAGUUGAACUUGGUUAUUCUUAUUGAUGAAUAGCUCAAGAACUUUUGUUGUAUUUCUGGACAACAUCAGUGAGUAAGUUUUGGUUUACUCCUAUUUUGGAUCACUUUGCUGAGAGCAUGAGUUAGACACUGUGAUUUGUAAGUCAAUUCUGCAUAUUGUAUUGUAGAGAAGAUUAUAAGUUCAUUGUCUUAGCGCAUGUUUUCAGUUUUGUGUUUUUUUUUUUUUGGUUGAGAAACAUUGUUAUGAGAUUUCUGCAAUUACUGUUGUGUUAAUUUGAAAUGAUUCUUUACUAUGGUGAAUCAUACUCAAGUGGGAGAAUGUUAGAGUGUGAUUAUGAUUCACACGGUUUAGAUAUUUCAGAUUAGUAUAAAGUGAUAAGGUCUCAGUUUGUUUAUAAGAGUAAUCCAGUUUUGGUUUGGAUUAGAACUCUAUUUGGGAUUUGAGUUUAGUACUCCUGAUUGUACAAGGAUUUAGUUUCAUAUUCCUUGUAGGAUUGUUAUAGGUGAUCCGGAACUUGUAGUAUAAAACCACAAGCCCCUGCUCUCGCAAAGAUACACUCUGAAUUUCGUUCCAGUUGCCUAUAAUCUGGAGAGUAUCGAGCUUUGCAAAGAGGAGAAG
rnacentral:lncRNA from 1 species